rnacentral:rRNA from 1 species
CUACGGGGGGCAGCAGUGAGGAAUAUUGGUCAAUGGGCGCGAGCCUGAACCAGCCAUCCCGCGUGCAGGAUGACGACCCUAUGGGUUGUAAACUGCUUUUCUAUGCCAAGAAACCCUGUUACGAGUAACAGGUUGCCGGUAGCAUAGGAAUAAGCAUCGGCUAACUCCGUGCCAGCAGCCGCGGUAAUACGGAGGAUGCAAGCGUUAUCCGGAUUCAUUGGGUUUAAAGGGUGCGCAGGUGGGCUUGUAAGUCAGUGGUGAAAUGCUGCCGCUUAACGGUAGAACUGCCAUUGAUACUGCGAGUCUUGAGUAUGGUUGAGGUAGGCGGAAUGUGUUGUGUAGCGGUGAAAUGCAUAGAUAUGACACAGAACGCCAAUUGCGAAGGCAGCUUACUAAGCCAUUACUGACGCUGAGGCACGAAAGCGUGGGGAGCGAACAGGAUUGAUACCCUUGUAGUC